GGAAUCACAAAAACUGAAGCAUGAUUUAUAACAAAUUGUCUCGUAAUUUGGAAAUCCCAGAAGAAUACUUAUGUCCCUUUAUUUCAUGGCUCUUCUGAUCCUCUUUACAGAUGACUUCCAGUUUAGCACAUGGCCUAAUUCAGAGAGUUACUUACUUCACUCAUUAAAGUAGGACUGGAAGAAAACUACUUGAUCUCCAUCCAUAUCCGAACGCUUCUGCCUCGCAAGCAAGAAUUCACUGAUUCCUUCUGGAUAACUGUAUCAUAGGCCUGACUACACUGGGCAUCAAAAAAGCUGAAGAUACAAUCUGCAUAAAAUUUACAUAUAUUUGCAUGCAUAUGCUGGCCAGAAAAUACAGCAAUUCACAUUUCCACAUCAUAAGAGGAGUAAUGGAAGUGUUCUUUUGGUGUGCCUUUCAUUGUGGUGUUUUGUUUUCUUUCUUUUACAGGAAUCUGUUUCCCUCACAAACUUUCAAAGUCACACCUAUGCCCCAUGAGUAGAGAUCAAAUCUUUUCAGUUGUUGUCCUUAACCUGACUAUAUCCACUCUAACUUCUUCAUCCUAGCAGAAUUCUUUAAAAAUGUCUUAAUUCAGGACUACUUGCUUAUUUGAAACAUAUUCUGCUUGUGGUAUAGUUCCCCAACUUUGCCCUUCACCAACUUAGAUAUCUCCAUUUCUGCCUCCACAGCUCCUCACAGGUUUUCCUUCUGCUGCGGAACAGAAAAGCCGGAUGAGGAAAAUAGUGCUGUACUUAGGCUGCUGUCAUUUAGAGUUAAGAAGUCCUCCAUUUGGACCUACACCUGCAGAGCCUCCCUGCAUCAUCCAUGCACAUCAGUACAGGACUCUGGCACCAGGUUCUGCAGCAUUGCAGAAUUGCUGUCAAGGGUGGAACUGUUCAGUAGCUCAGGAUGCUGCCUUCCAGUCAUCCAUCUGUGCCUCUUCUGUGCCCAAAGCCAUAGACAAGGCAAGUAUGUUCCCAUACCCUUGAAGACCACUUACUGAUAAUGUGUACUCUAAGAAACCAAGAAGAAAGUUAUUUAUGUUAC
rnacentral:lncRNA from 1 species